GCCGGAGCUUGCUCCGGAUAUGGCGAUAAACGCGCUUGUAAUAAGCGGACCGGACCCGGGUGCGAUUCCCGGCGGCUCCACCA
rnacentral:tmRNA from 1 species